rnacentral:rRNA from 1 species
UACGGAGGGAGCUAGCGUUGUUCGGAAUUACUGGGCGUAAAGCGUACGUAGGCGGCUUUGUAAGUUAGAUGUGAAAGCCUGGAGCUCAACUCCAGAACUGCCUUUAAGACUGCAUCGCUUGAAUCCGGGAGAGGUGAGUGGAAUUCCGAGUGUAGAGGUGAAAUGCGUAGAUAUGCGGAAGAACACCAGUGGCGAAGGCGGCUCACUAGACCGGUAUUGACGCUGAGGUGCGAAAGCGUGGGGAGCAAACAGG